rnacentral:rRNA from 1 species
GUAUAGGCACUAAGUGUCAAGGAGGGCAUCCGGUCAUCAGAACUUAGAAGCUGAGCGGACUUGAGCCUGGCUCGUACUUGGAUGGGAUACUGCCUGGGGAUACCAGGUGGUGUAGACU